rnacentral:rRNA from 1 species
AUUGAACGCUGGCGGCAGGCCUAACACAUGCAAGUCGAACGAGUGGCGGACGGGUGAGUAAUGUCUGGGAAACUGCCUGAUGGAGGGGGAUAACUACUGGAAACGGUAGCUAAUACCGCAUACCAUCGGAUGUGCCCAGAUGGGAUUAGCUAGUAGGUGGGGUAACGGCUCACCUAGGCGACGAUCCCUAGCUUGUCUGAGAGGAUGACCCGCCACCCGGGAACUGAGACACGGUCCAGACUCCUACGUGAGGCAGCAGUGGGGAAUAUUGCACAAUGUGCGCAAGCCUGAUGCAUCCAUGCCGCGUGUAUGAAGAAGUCCUUCGGGUUGUAAAGUACUUUCAGCGGGGAGGCGUUACCCGCAGAAGAAGCACCGGCUAACUCCGUGCCAGCCGCCGCGGUAAUUC